rnacentral:lncRNA from 1 species
UUUCUUAAAAUACUACGUGGUUGUUAUCUAGCUCUAUUAGUACUUACGUGUUAUUACUAUGAUUUUAUUUUCAAGAAUGUAUAUGUAUGUAUUAUAUGUUUGUGUUUAAAUAACCAUUUAUAACUUGAUUUUAAAUAAUGAUAUCGUUGUUCUGAAUUUUUACUUCUUGACAUUUUCUAUUCUAAGAAAUUCAUAAAUAAUUAUAGUCAAAUUAUUAUAAAAAAAAAAAAGGAGAAAGGAAAAGAAAAUAGGGAGUUUAAAGGAUAAUGUAAUUUUUUUUAAAAAUAAAUAAUGUUAUACAAACACUUGGCAUGUGGCGCUCACCAUUCGACUACUCUCCAGUUGAUCCCGGGUAUGAAAUGAAUUCGUUUCAUUCUUAAUUUCUAGCAUGGUUAUGAGUCAUAUUUCUACAUGUUAUGAAAUGUAUAAGCAUGUUCACCUUGCAUAAUAUAUUUGUCAUCUUUACAUUUUACUAGAAUAUCGUGUAUGCACUAAAAAAUAAAAAAAUACUGAUAAUGCAAGAUUAAACAUAAUUGAAAUUAUAAUUGUCACGUGAUUAGGAUGACUAGGAAUUACCCAAACUACCUCCAGCAUGCUGAAAUGGCCAUUGAGAACAACAUAGAUUAUGAAGUAAGAUGGGAGCGAACUUUUGUUGAACAUGUUGAAGAUUUCCUUUCUAAGUGGGAGCGGGCAAGAUCAUUCGGAUAUAAUGAGGGGACAAUCCUCUUGAUAUACCACCUUUUAAGCACUAUGCAACCUCAAUGGAGAGACGUGACUUACUUCGUGAGGGAUAUGGAUUAUGAGUUAUAUUUGGAAGAAGAUUGGGACAAUAUUGAUUUUAAAGGAUACUGUGAGGAUAUCAUAAUUUCAUAGAAUCACAGACAACAAGCACCAGCACCCGAACCAGAGCCAGAGCCAAAGGAGGACCCGGAGGAGGAACCGGAAGAGGACCCAUAGGAAGAUAUUGAACUAGAGUUGGAAGACCCUAAGAAGGAAAUGCAACCACAAAAUUUCGUUGAUUUGAUUGCAGAUUCCGAGUCAGAGUCAUGCAUUACUUCGAAGAUGAGAUGCCAUAAAAGAAGAUUUUUUUUCAGGACACAGGGGGAUUAGGAUUAAGUGUUAUUUAUUUACUUAGGAAAAGUUUAAUUGUUUAGUUGAUUUUGAAGAGCACAUUACUAUAUGUAAGGAUUUGAAAAUUUAUAUUGUUAAAAUUCUUCGUUAUUACAAAGAUUAUUAAUAAUAUUAUGUUGUUUUAUUAAAUAUUUCUAAAUUAAAAUUUUAUUUGUGCUAAGAAAAUGUCGAGACAACAACAAAAUCAAGCUACAAUCAUCAGGGAUUUGCUAAGGGUAAUACAAGACUUGGGUAGGCAACAAGCACAGGCUGGUCCCCAUGGUGCAAACGCUAACAACACCACCCUAAUUGUGGAACAGUUUUGUCACUACAAACCCCCAACCUUCGAUGGCAAGGCAGACCCACUAGUAGCCGAAGAAUGGAAAAGAGGAAUGGAGUGAAUCUUCAAACAUCUAUCUUACAUUGAUGCUCAAAAGGUGUUAUGCGCAGAAUUUAUGUUGGCUGACGCUGCAUGCCACUAGUGGGAGUUAGCAUCUUGCACUAGAACAGAAGCACAACAACGUGCUCUGACAUGAACACAAUUUAAAGAUGAAGUGAUGGGAAAAUACUUUCCCCAAGCACUGAGAGAUCAAAAGGAGAUAGAAUUCCUUCAAAUUAAACAAGGAAAAAUGAAGCUUGAGGAUUAUGAGAGAAAAUUCGAACAACUAUCAAGGUAUGUACCACACCUAGUGGACACUAAAGCAAAGAAAGCAAGGAGGUUCGAACAGGGAUUGCGUCCUAAGAUUGGUGGAAUACUAGCAUCCCAUCAAUUCACCACCUAUAGCCGAGUAUUGCAGACUGCCCAAGCAAUCUCAAAUAGCUUGGAAAUUGACCAAACUCCCUAGAAAGGGCUGAGUUCAGGAAAGAGGAAAUGGAAUGGGUCCAACGAAAAGAAAGGAGAAGGACCGAACAAGAAGGCUAACUUCGGACCAGGUUUUGGACAAGUCGUUCCACCUUGUCCAAAGUGUAAGAAAAUAUACAGGGGUGAAUGUCUGUAUGGGAAGCAUGUGUGCUAUAGAUGCGGUAAAAUCAGGCAUAUUUCCAAAAACUACAAAGAGGAUCUUUCGAAGAAGAAUGACGAGCCAAAAAAGAAAGGAAAUGCCAGAAUUUUUACUUACAGGCCACAGAAGAUCCUAACGCAAGUAAAUUUCAAGGAGGAAAUUCUCUUAAGGGUAGAUUGUAGCAACCCCAAAAAAAAAAUUAUAGAUAAAAUUUUAUUUAUUUUGUAUAUUAUAUAAAUUUCUAUUUUAUCUGGGUCAAAUAAAUUAGAUCUUGAUAGAGUAUUGAUAAGUAUAUUAAUAUUAUACUCAUUGGGUAGCUCGUAAUUAAUCAUGUAUUUUAGGCCGAAGAAAAAGUUAUUUCAGAUAAAUUAGGCCCAAGAUAUUUAAGUUCGAAGAUAUUAUCUUUAUUUGACAAAUAAUUGGAGUUUGUCUAUGAUUUUAGCUUUACAACCAUGAUUUCACGUGUAGAUAACCUUUGGAUUUCAAUUGAGAUGAAAGGAUAAUUGUCAACUCCUAGUUGAUGUUAUCUACUUGAAUUAAAAUAGUAGAAACUCUCACAAUUUAUGCUGUAGAGUGUAGGGAGUUGGGACAGUACAAUAUAAAUCAUAUUACUUUGUUUGAGGAACACAGCAGUUCCAAUUCUCUUUCUGCAAAUGUAAAGAUUUCCUCUGGCAAAAAAUAACUUAUUUAAAUACAAUUUAAACUCCAUCAUCCGUCACUUUCCCCAUGUUCCCUAUUCUAUUUAGAUGAUUAGGAUUUAUCUAAAUAUAGUUAUAAUGUAAUCAUACUUAAAGAUUUAGGCUUAUUACAUUAUGAUUUGCUUUAUCAAAAAUUUUGCUUUAUUUAAUUGGGUGGUACACGUCUCUUUCAUCCCAAUUUCACCAAAACUUAUCGUCUUUUCUACUAUAAAUACCAUGUCAAAAGUCUCAUCAUUCACUACUAAAAAAAUAAACACAAUUUAAAGCAGAAAGAAAAAAAAAACGUGUGAGACUAAGAAGAGAGAGAGAGGAAGAGAGAGAAGAAAGAAAGAGAGAGAGAAAGGAAGAGAGAGAGAGAGAAGGUAGCAUUAGAAUAAAGUUUGCAUACAUUGAAUAUUUUAAUCACAUAUUUUUCAAAGCGGAGAAAAAAUUUUGAACGUGCUUUAAAUUUUUCUAACAAUGUAAGAUACAUGUGUGUAAGUUGUUUUCGUUUCUAUAUGCUUUUAUAUGCAAUUAAAAAAUGCUUGGAUUGCCGGUACACUUUUUUUUUUUAAAGAGAUAUGAAAUCCUACAGGAUUAUAAGAGGAUCUAAGAUGGGUAUGUCGCAUGGUCACCGAUAUACUCCAUAAGAACAGAUGGUAUGAAUUGUAAUUUUUAUUGUCAUAUAUAUGUAUAUGAAAACUGCACGUAUCUUACUGGGUGUUUUCGAAUAUUCACUCUUACAAAUUUUUACAGGUUAGUUCGUGUCGAUUGAAAUUGUGGAAGGAUGGUGAUGCGGGCUCCCAAGUGAAUCAAAUGAAAAGAAAAAUAAAUGAGUUUGUCAUCUUUAAAUUUACCAAUUAGUUUAAUUUUGUUCCAAACAUAUUAUUUAAAUUAGUUAAAAGUUUAUGUUAUGUUUAAAUAAAAAUUUUAUAUUUUAAAUUUAGAUUUAUAAAUGUUACAGUUAUUUGUUUAAUAAAGA